AGAGUUUGAUCCUGGCUCAGGAUAAACGCUGGCGGCGUGCCUAACACAUGCAAGUCGAACGCGCUCAGCAAUGAGCGAGUGGCGGACGGGUGAGUACCACGUGGGUCAUCCACCUUUCGGUGAGGAAUACCGGCGAGAAAUCGCCGACAAUACCGCAUACGUUUCGCAAGAAACAAAGUCGCAAGACGCCGGAGGAGGAGCCUGCGCCCGAUUAGCUAGCUGGUGGAGUAACGGUCUACCAGGGCGACGAUCGGUAGCUGGUCUGAGAGGAUGAUCAGCCACACUGGGAUUGAGAACGGCCCAGACUCCUACGGGGGGCAGCAGUGAGGAAUUUUCGUCAAUGGGGGCAACCCUGAACGAGCAACGCCGCGUGCAGGACGACACUUUUCGGAGCGUAAACUGCUUUUCUUGGGGACGAGCGAGGACGGUACCCAAGGAAUCAGCCCCGGCUAACUACGUGCCAGCAGCCGCGGUAAUACGUAGGGGGCGAGCGUUGUCCGGAAUUACUGGGCGUAAAGCGCGUGCAGGCGGUUCAACAAGUUCAGAGUGACAGUCACCAGCCUAACUGGUGAAGUGUUCUGAAAACUAUUGGACUUGAGAGCGAGAGAGGGACCUGGAACUCCGGGUGGAGCGGUGAAAUGCGUAGAGAUCCGGAAGAACACCACAGGCGAAGGCAGGGUCCUGGCUCGUUUCUGACGCUGAGGCGCGAAAGCAAGGGGAGCGAACGGGAUUAGAUACCCCGGUAGUCCUUGCCGUAAACGAUGACCACUGGGCGUGGGAGGUUUCGACCCCUUCCGUGCCGUAGGAAACCUGUUAAGUGGUCCGCCUGGGGAGUACGGUCGCAAGACUAAAACUCAAAGGAAUUGACGGGGACCCGCACAAGCAGCGGAGCGUGUGGUUUAAUUCGAUGCAACGCG
rnacentral:rRNA from 1 species